UGUUUUUGAGUUAAACUAUCAUUUUUCAAAGAGAACAUUAUGUUUUAUAUUUAAAUGGCCUGAAUCUUGCAUUCGUUUGACUCACAUGGUUAUGUUUAUUUUCAGGUGCGUUUUCCAUAUUUGUGGUGCGUUUGACAGUAGUUUCUUAGAGGAUUUAGUAUGCAUGGUGUAUGUGUUGCGAAUUCACGACGACUGCUUCGAUGGUUAGAGCUUCCUUCACGUUAGCAACUGCUUCGAAGGUUCAUGAUUGCUUCAAUUUCGCGAUUGUGCCUUUCCCUUUCAGAAUCAUGGUAAAAAGACUGCAUUGAUGGAUUCCUUAGGUCAAUUGAGAAAGAUGGUUCUGAUGUUUUCAUUGAUUGGUUGAAAACUAAUGAGAUAAAACAAUUCUAUCUUGCAAUUAGGACCAAUGACAUAACUACAUUUUCAAGUCUAGUUAAAGAGAAUUAAGAAAUGCUCCAACAGAGAACAGCAGACGAGUCAAUCCCUCUUUCUUAGGUUAAAGUUGGUUAAGAGUACGGUAUAGUGGUUAUAACUUUUACUGGAGCGAUUUCGGCGUUGCUUAUGACGCAUGGAGGUGAAGACGCAGUUGAUGACGUAGGAUGAGGAAGGAUGAGGAAUGUAGCAAUUGUAGCUCUCUGGCCAACGCUUUAAGUUUCUAAGGAAGCUGGUUUUGGGAGGAGCUUAUUUGAAAGAUUGAGUUCGUUAGGUUACCAAAAGUCUCUCCUAAACGUGCAGCACAGGAUGCACCCAGAAAUAAGUUCUUUCCCAAUUUCGCAUUUCUAUUGCAACAAAAUUCAGGAUGCACCAAAUGUGGAAAGACAUGAUUAUGGGAAGACAUACCUCCAGGACCAAUGUUUGGUCCUUAUUCCUUUAUAAAUGUAGUUGGAGGUAAAGAACAAUUUGAUGAUGAAGGAAGGAGCUACAAAAAUUUAGCAGAGGUCGCAGUUGUCAUGACAAUACUAAAAAAUAUGCACAAGGCAUGGCUGACAUCAAAACAUGAAUUCAACAUCGGUAUUGUGACUCCCUAUGCUGGCCAAGUUGCUGCAAUUCAAGAGAAACUUGGAAAGAUUUAUGAAAGUGAUGAUAGAUUUAAUGUCGUUGUGAGUUCUGUUGAUGGUUUUCAAGGAGGGGAGAAGGAUAUUAUCAUGUUAUCAACUGUAAGAACAAGCAGUAGAUCAUCUCUUGAGUUCAUUUCCUCUCCGCAGAGGACUAAUGUUGCUCUUACAAGGGCUAGGCACUGCUUGUGGAUUUUGGGGGAAUGAAUGGGCGAUUAUAAACAAUGAAAAUGUUUGAAAGGCUAUAGUGCUUGAUGCCAAGAACCGUAAGUGCUUCUUUAACGUCGACCAAGACGAGGAAAUGGCGAAAGCUAUAUUAGAUUCCAAGAAAAAGGCAUAUCAGUUUGAUGAUUUGCUUGAUACAAAUAGUGUCCUGUUCAGGAGCAAAUUAUGGAAGGUUUAUUUUAGUGAUUCCUGAGGUCAUUCAAAUGGCUAAAAUCUGAAGUGACCAAGAAUAGGGUUAUCAACCUUCUUGAAAGGCUUUCCAGUGGAUGGAGGCCUAAAUGGAUUAAUGUGGAUUUGUGUUGUGAAACAUCAACUCAGAUUUUGAAGAAGUUUAAGGUUGAAAAUAACUAUGUUAUUUGUUCAAGAGAAAUAGUCAAAGGUUCAAGAUAUAUUCAAGAUAUGGGACAUACUACGUUUAGAAGAUAUCCAACAGUGGGCCCAACACUUGGACAAAGUGUUCAGAAGAUACACUGAUGAAUAUAUUAGGAUGUGCAAAAAGAAAGGAACAAAUAAUCUUGUGAACAUAGAAUUUCCAUUGAAUUGGCCACUUUCAGCCAAUAUCCAAAAAUUUGAGAAUGUUAAUAAUGAUGAAAAUGAUCGAGAUGAAAAUGGCAAUGAUGAUACAAAUGAAGCCGAAAAAACAAGGGUUGAGCAGCAAGAGUAUGGUUGCUUGGUGUUUCCUAAGCUAAGGGAAUUAUAUGCAUGUGUUUGUGGUGUAUGGACUUGAAGGACUAAGUCCUUAGGAUCUGGGAUGUGCUUGACUUGAGUCGCGAGCAAGUAGUUCGUGAUGUGUGGACCGCAUGCGGAACGUGAACAAUUUAGUUCACCGGAGGUACUCUCGUUGGGAUGAGUGAGCGAGGGAGUUCAUCUCAUGCUCAACUUGAGAAUGCUAUGAGUGAGGGAGUUCAUAGUAGGAAAGGCGGGUAUGCGUGUCCGGGUCCAAGCGAGGAGUUCGGAUGACGGGCGAGGGAGUCCGUGAAGCAGGACUACAAGCGGGACAAGCUUGUAGGUUGGACCACGAGCGAGGAGGGUCGUGGAAGCACAGGAAGUCCCAAGAUUUAGAGUACAUGCAUGAACUCAUAAUGGUUGAGUAUGGGAAAAUGGAUGAUGUUGCAGGGAAGCGAGGAGAUGCUUAGUUACGGGGAGUGAGAGCAGAAUACAGGGGAUUUUGGAGGAAAUGGCCUACUUAUGCGGCUGUGAAGCUUAAUGUGGUUCUGUCAGGAGCAACAUGGCUAGAGCCUAACCCUUUGCUGAUUCGGUCUUUAUCAUGAGGCAACUAACUACACUUUAUUUCGCUUCAGAUAAGUCGUGCACAUGCAUUAAAUGAUUUGCUUGUGUUAUUUUGUUUCAUUCAAGACCAAUGAUUUGGUUUUGUACCACACCUAACCAAACUCGACCAAAUAAGUAAACGAUACAUAUAUGUUAAGGCGUUCAAGUAAUCAGUCUAGGCCGAGUUGGUCUAAGCCUUACCAGAUUAAACCGAUAGCAUAGACCGUCGAAGAAAGUAGUCGACCUAGGCCAACUACUCCAAUCUACUUAGUAAAAUUGAAACCCCACGUGUUCAAUAGGUUAUAAGGGCCUGAGCCAAGGCUCAGGUCCACUUACAGCCCAAACUAGAGCCCAAGCCAGGGCCCGGCCCAUGACAUAACCAGACAUAAUUAAUGUUCUAUAAAUACACGUGGACCCCAGUAAUUAAAGAUAAGCAUUCAUUAAUCACUGAUUUGACCUUUCGAGAGUUUUGACUCACUUGAGCUUCAGACUCCCUUUUGCCGGUAAUCCCUUUUGGGUCCAAACCGACAUGUACCAACCGAAAAGAUGUCAACUGAGGAGAUAACGGACUACAUGGGUAAGGUGACGCUUGUGCCUAAUUUAUCUUGUUUGUUCUCUGCAGGAACAAUUUUACAUCACAGAUUGUCAACAUGUUCGUACACCGGUGGCAUUGGCUGGGUACAGUAACCAUACAUAUGCACUACUCCAAUAAAGGUAACACUCCAGUUCGAUGACUAUAUUGUGCUUCAUGGACACAAAGUUGAUCAUUCACAUGGAAACUUUUUGAUGCCACCACCACUAUCAACUCAAUAUGAGAGUCCCCGUUCUAGAGAAUUGUUACCAAAACCAAUAUUAAGAAAACCUUCUAAGGUAUCAAAAGCGAAGGACAAUGACUGUAAGCUAUUUGGGAUCCACUUCAUACUACACAUCAACAACGCACAUAUGAAAAUGACCCAAAGUCUGAGAAUUCAAGAGGAUUGAAACCAGUUGAUGUGUUGAUUGACGACCAUGAAAAGCCUACGCAAACUUCUCACCCACAUCUAAAAGAUGUUCAACCCAAAUCUAGUAGUGGUUCUGCUAGAAGCUGCACUAAAGUUGACAAGAAAGGGAUUGCACUUGGUAGGUCGGUGGACUUCACAAAGUUCAGUGCAUAUGAUGAAUUAAUUGCUAAAUCGGAUGAGCUAUUUGAAUUCGAAGGUGAAUUAACCUUUCCUCAAGAUGUUUGGCUUAUUGUCUACACUGAUAAUGAGGGCGAUAUGAUGCUUGUUGGGAUUUUAUUGCUAUGGUACGAAAAGUUUAUAUCUAUCCCAAAGAGGAGAUUCAGAAAAUGAGCCCGGGUACCUUAAGUUCAAAGAACGAAAACAAUCAAUCGGCUAGUGAAGGUGUAGACGAUCAAGAAGAAAAUAAAUGUCAGCUGAAUAAUUCAGCUUCAGAGGCUUGAUAGUUCGUAUAACUUUUGAUUUCCAUAGCUUCCAGGAAAGUUCAUAAUUCAUCAUGUUCCCCCAUAUAUGGAUUUUGAAUCUAGUUUACUAGAAGAAUCAUACCAAAUGAAAUGUGUUGUCUUGUGAUACAGAUUCCCAACUCGAGUGUUACCUGAUGUAAAAAAAAAUGUAUGUAAAUCUAAUCUUUAACAAUGGUGAAUUUCUUAGGUACACAUAUAGGUUGGAACAUAUGUUACCUGAUGGCACUUAUAUAUUUAUGUACGGGGUAAGAAGUAGUCAUUUAAGGAAUCCCCGUAUUAGUUUGAAGAAGCUUCAAUGCUAAAUGGAAUGAUGCAAUGAAGGAUGACCUCGUUAUUAUUAAA